AACGAACGCUGGCGGCAUGCCUAACACAUGCAAGUCGAACGAGACCUUCGGGUCUAGUGGCGCACGGGUGCGUAACGCGUGGGAAUCUGCCCCUCGGUUCGGAAUAACAGUGAGAAAUUACUGCUAAUACCGGAUGAUGACUUCGGUCCAAAGAUUUAUCGCCGAGGGAUGAGCCCGCGUAGGAUUAGGUAGUUGGUGGGGUAAUGGCCUACCAAGCCGACGAUCCUUAGCUGGUCUGAGAGGAUGAUCAGCCACACUGGGACUGAGACACGGCCCAGACUCCUACGGGAGGCAGCAGUGGGGAAUAUUGGACAAUGGGCGAAAGCCUGAUCCAGCAAUGCCGCGUGAGUGAUGAAGGCCUUAGGGUUGUAAAGCUCUUUUACCAGGGAUGAUAAUGACAGUACCUGGAGAGUAAGCUCCGGCUAACUCCGUGCCAGCCGCCGCCGUAACAC
rnacentral:rRNA from 1 species